UACGUAGGGUGCAAGCGUUGUCCGGAAUUAUUGGGCGUAAAGAGCUCGUAGGCGGUUUGUCGCGUCUGCUGUGAAAACUCGGGGCUUAACCCCCGGGCCUGCAGUGGGUACGGGCAGACUAGAGUUCGGUAGGGGAGUCUGGAAUUCCUGGUGUAGCGGUGAAAUGCGCAGAUAUCAGGAGGAACACCGGUGGCGAAGGCGGGACUCUGGGCCGAUACUGACGCUGAGGAGCGAAAGCGUGGGGGAGCAAAACAGG
rnacentral:rRNA from 1 species